rnacentral:rRNA from 1 species
GGUUAAGCGACUAAGCGUACACGGUGGAUGCCCUGGCAGUCAGAGGCGAUGAAGGACGUGCUAAUCUGCGAUAAGCGUCGGUGAGGUGAUAUGAACCGUUAUAACCGGCGAUUUCCGAAUGGGGAAACCCAGUGUGUUUCGACACACUAUCAUUAACUGAAUCCAUAGGUUAAUGAGGCGAACCGGGGGAACUGAAACAU